rnacentral:rRNA from 1 species
UACAGAGGUCUCAAGCGUUGUUCGGAUUCAUUGGGCGUAAAGGGUGCGUAGGCGGCGCGGUAAGUCGGGUGUGAAAUCUCGGAGCUUAACUCCGAAACUGCAUUCGAUACUGCCGUGCUUGAGGACUGGAGAGGAGACUGGAAUUUACGGUGUAGCGGUGAAAUGCGUAGAUAUCGUAAGGAAGACCAGAGGCGAAGGCGGGUCUCUGGACAGUUCCUGACGCUGAGGCACGAAGGCCAGGGGAGCAAACGGG